rnacentral:rRNA from 1 species
AGAGUUUGAUCCUGGCUCAGAUUGAACGCUGGCGGCAUGCUUUACACAUGCAAGUCGAACGGUAGAGGCUUCGGCCUUGAGAGCGGCGGACGGGUGAGUAAUGCCUAGGAAUCUGCCUAGUGGUGGGGGAUAACGUUCGGAAACGGACGCUAAUACCGCAUACGUCCUACGGGAGAAAGCGGGGGACCUUCGGGCCUCGCGCCAUUAGAUGAGCCUAGGUCGGAUUAGCUAGUUGGUGAGGUAAUGGCUCACCAAGGCGACGAUCCGUAACUGGUCUGAGAGGAUGAUCAGUCACACUGGAACUGAGACACGGUCCAGACUCCUACGGGAGGCAGCAGUGGGGAAUAUUGGACAAUGGGCGAAAGCCUGAUCCAGCCAUGCCGCGUGUGUGAAGAAGGUCUUCGGAUUGUAAAGCACUUUAAGUUGGGAGGAAGGGUAGUAACUUAAUACGUUGCUACUUUGACGUUACCGACAGAAUAAGCACCGGCUAACUUCGUGCCAGCAGCCGCGGUAAUACGAAGGGUGCAAGCGCUAAUCGGAAUUACUGGGCGUAAAGCGCGCGUAGGUGGUUCAGUAAGUUGGAAGUGAAAUCCCCGGGCUCAACCUGGGAACUGCUUUCAAAACUGCUGAGCUAGAGUACGGUAGAGGGUGGUGGAAUUUCCUGUGUAGCGGUGAAAUGCGUAGAUAUAGGAAGGAACACCAGUGGCGAAGGCGACCACCUGGACUGAUACUGACACUGAGGUGCGAAAGCGUGGGGAGCAAACAGGAUUAGAUACCCUGGUAGUCCACGCCGUAAACGAUGUCAACUAGCCGUUGGGAGUCUUGAACUCUUAGUGGCGCAGCUAACGCAUUAAGUUGACCGCCUGGGGAGUACGGCCGCAAGGUUAAAACUCAAAGGAAUUGACGGG